rnacentral:tRNA from 1 species
GGCGUAUAGUGUAAUGGUCAGCACAAUGGACUUUGACUCCGUUAGUAAUAGUUCAAAUCUAUUUACGCCUGCCA